UACGAAGGGGGCGAGCGUUGUUCGGAAUUACUGGGCGUAAAGGGCGCGUAGGCGGCCGAUCAAGUCAGAUGUGAAAGUCCUGGGCUUAACCUGGGGACUGCAUUUGAUACUGAUUGGCUUGAAUGCAGGAGAGGAUAGCGGAAUUCCCAGUGUAGAGGUGAAAUUCGUAGAUAUUGGGAAGAACACCGGUGGCGAAGGCGGCUAUCUGGACUGUGAUUGACGCUGAGGCACGAAAGCGUGGGAGCAAACAGG
rnacentral:rRNA from 1 species